GACGAACGCUGGCGGCGUGCCUAAUACAUGCAAGUCGAACGCAGUGGGGACGGGUGAGUAACACGUGGGUAACCUCCCAUCAGAGGGGAUAACACUUGGAAACAGGUGCUAAACCGAUACUGAUGGAUGGACCCGAGGUGCAUUAGCUAGUUGGUGAGGUAACGGCUCACCAAGGCCACGAUGCAUAGCCGACCUGGAAGGAAGAUCGGCCACACUGGGACUGAGAAACGGCGCGGACUCCUACGGGAGGCAGCAGUAGGGAAUCUUCGACAAUGGGCGAAAGUCUAACCGAGCAACGCCGCAUGAGUGAAGAAGGUUUUCGGAUCGUAAAACUCUUUUGUUAGAGAAGCGAUAUCUAACCAGAAAGCCACGGCUAACUACGUGCCAGCCACCGCGGUAAUAC
rnacentral:rRNA from 1 species